UUCCCCCAGUAACAGCGAGUGAAGAGGGAAAAGCCCAAAUUUGUAAUCUGUCUCUUGCAGAGACUGAGUUGUAAUUUUGAGAGCUGUCUUCAGUUCUGGACCAUAUAUAAGUCUGUUGAAAAGCAGCAUCAUUGAGGGUGAUAAUCCCGUUGAUGAUAUGGACUACCAGAGCGUUAUGAUACAGUCUCUAAGAGUCGAGUUGUUUGGGAAUGCAGCUCAAAGUGGGUGGUAAAUUCCAUCUAAGGCUAAAUAUAGGUGAGAGACCGAUAGCAAACAAGUACCGUGAGGGAAAGAUGAAAAGAACUUUGGAAAGAGAGUUAACAGUAUGUGAAAUUGUUAAAAGAGAAACACUUGAAGUUAGACUUGUUGUUGUUAGUUCACCCUGCAAAGGAUUAUUCUAAUGAUUGACAGACCAACAUCAAUUUUUGAGUUCUGGAUAAGGGUUCAAGGAAAUGUAGCAGCUUUGGCUGUUUUAUAGUCCUGA
rnacentral:rRNA from 1 species